rnacentral:lncRNA from 1 species
CGUUACGCGACGCGCCUCAUCGCAGCGGAGCUGUACGUCAUCAGUGUGCGCAGCGCCGGUCACGUGCCCCUUGUUUACCUCCGGCGGGAGUUGCGCCGCUGCGGGCUGUGAGCGGGCGGCUUCCCUGGGAGGAGGGGAAGCACCUCGCGGCGAGGGCAGGCUUCCAAUGUCGCUGCCAACAAAGAGGUGUGGAAGACCCCCGGUGUUGUCUUUUUUGGAAAAGAAAAAGAGAAAGCAAAGUCUUGAUAGGAGGAGAGGGAAAACCAGGAUUUAUGUUGGAAAUCAUAUUGACCGAUGGCUGACACUGAAGGAAAAACUGGAUUUCAGAAAUGAUGCAGAAGUUGCUGGGUUUUUAUUGGACUUGUAUGACAACUAUGACCCGCUGACAAAAGCUCCCAUCUGUUCCCUCCCCGGGGAUGUGAGAAGAAUUACUGUGAAAGAAGACAGAACACUGUCAGACAGUGCUUGCUUAAUAGCAGCUGACGGAACGUAUGAUGAUGGUGACCAACUGUCUAAAGCGGCUGCUUGUUCUGAAUAUGGAGACUUCAGAAUUGUCACUGUGAAAGAAGAGCGAGAGAUGCCACCUCAUUGUUCAUCAGUGGAGACAGAUAACACGUUAGUGAUACCACAGGAUUCUGUUUGCAUGUUUUACAUUUGUCAAUGUUUUGUAUUGACUUUUAUUAUCACUUUUAAUUUAGCUUAUCAGAAGCUCACAUCAUUCAAUUCAUGCUUUGUUUCCUUACCUGAAAGGGGAUGAUCACUCCGGUCACUGUGAGGGAAGCAUCUGGGAGAGUUUUUGGAAGAGUUGUUUCUUAGAGUGUACGCAGCAAACUUCUUGUUCAGUGACUUGUCUUCCUGAAGUCUGUGAAUGGAACAAGAAAAUAGCUGAUACAUGUGAAAUAUUGGCUGCCUUAGUAAAUAACGAGGUUCAGUCAUGCAGUGUACAGACACGUGUAUGCUUUAACAUUCUAGAAAAGAAAAAUGUUUCUUUGUUGACUGUUCGAGUGAUAACGCAUACGAAGUGAUGCAUAAACCUACUUAGAAGUAGUGCUGUGCUCAAGGAGGCAACCACAUCAUCAGUCGACUGCUGAUGUCUUUUACUGCAGUGUCAUCAGUAACUGAGGCAUUCACAGUUGAGAGAUCAGAGGAGCCUCAAAUAGGUAUGCUUGUCGUUUACUAUCUAUUUAGGUUUCAAUUAUCCACAAGUAUUAGUGAAUAAUUAUAAUUUUCUCCAUGUCUUAGUUAUCAGACCUUUUACAAAUGUGUCUUUUAAUAUGUGCAGGGGGACACUGAGAUCCUAGGACAUUGCAUUGGCAUUGCAUGGUGUGUCCAAACCCUUCGCUAAUAAGAAGUAUGUAAUGUGUGUAGUGUGUUUGUCUCAAUUUUGCACAUCACUAUUUUUGUUUGUUUUUUGGUUUUGGUGUGUGUAUGUGUGUUUGUGUGUCCUCCCUAAUUGUUUUUACUUUUAAUUUUAGUAGGUGAAUAUGUUGGGCUUCUGGAAGUAAUUCACUGGCUCAGAAGAAUUACUGGAAGCUGGAUCAGGAGAAAAGAAAUACCAGUGCUGAUGAAGCUGAAAAUUUCAAGUUAAUUCUUCAAAACAGCACUUUUCUGGGACAAUAUAGUUUUAGGUUGGAGUGCUGCAAUACUUUAAUUCCUGGGACUGACUUUCUACAG